rnacentral:lncRNA from 1 species
CACACACAUAGGCUAUAUGGUAUUGUAUAGCCUAUAGACUGCUUCCAGGCCGCAAACCUGUAUAGCAUGUUACUGCAUUGAAUACUGUAAGCAACUGUAACACAAUGAGGCACGGAAGCGCAUCCGUGGAAAUCCAUCCCUUCCGACUUCCUUACACCUAUACAAAAGCCUGCAUUUGAUGCCCAGGACUCCAGAUCAGUACAUUCUGUGACAACUAAGGCACAGUGGAACAAGAAGGGCCCAACCACAUAAAGCUCCAGGAGAGUAGGAAUUAGUCUUGCUCUCAAGGACAUUCCUGGCACCCAGCAGAAUACCUAGCCUAGUAGGCAACAAAUGAAUACUGGAUGAAUAAAUCUAUGAAUCCAUCAAGAAGCAAGCUUGAGAAUGAGGCCAAAACACAGAGGAAGGCAAAAGAGCAAUGAAGCUGAGCAAAUACACCAGACUACCCAACUCUGAAACCCAUCCAACCUCUGGACUUCAUUGUUGUGAGUCAAUACAUUUACCUAACAUUUAAACCACUCAGAGUCAAAAUUUCUGUUAC